UCUUAAGUGAAUUUAUGUGAGUGCUUAUGAAAAUGAAGUAUUAUAUGACAUUAAAGAAAAAGCAGAACCUUGCACGGUGUACAGGAAUACCAACUUGUUGAUAUCAAAUGCUUAUAGAGAGGUGAAUCCAUUCAAAACAUGGGUUUUAUUUCCUAAUCAAAGAGUUUAAUCAAAGUUCCUUAUCAAAGAGCUGUUUGAAAAUAAAUGUUUUUGACCACCAAGCAUAAACAUUCAAGUUAUUACGGAACAUUAUCUAGUGGAUAGGUAAGAGGAUUAGAAGUCAACCUCCCCAGUCCUUGUCUUACCUUUUAUAUGGUCUUUUAUGGUAAUCUUACACUAGUCACUGAACUUUUCUGAUUGCCUUUAUUUAUCUUUCUGUAUGACUAAAUAUGACUAAAUGUUGUAUCUGUCAUAUGAAGAUAGUAUGUAAGUAAUAGACUUAAACCUUCAUUUGAAAAAUGCCAGCAAAGCUGGGAAGAGCUUCAGAGGAACAAAUCACCCCACUCAGAACUGAAAUAGAGAGGUCCUUCUUCACGUCUGGGGCAGAGGUUUCAGGAACUUUAAGAAUCAAGCUAUCAUGAUGCUAAAAAUGCUUAACACCUUCAUCUUAAUGCAAAGGAAUUGUCAGGGAAUCGUGUAGCUAUGGAUUUUUUUCACUUCAGAAAAAAAUAGUAUGACUUUCAAAUAUCAUCUCUUCAAAAUUCAGUGGAAGUAUGGCCAUUGGAGAUGACUUGACAAAGCCUCCCCUAGAACAGCUAGUAGUCCUUGUUCUACCUUAUUCAGGUCAAGGACUGAAAAACAGGUGUUUUGUAGUCUAGUAAAUGACUUCACCACAAGGCUUUGGUUUUUUUUUCUUCUUUUCCUUGAGUUUUUGGGACCCCCUCAGCUACGUCUGUCUCUCUGCAACUUAUCAAGUUUGUACAAAUAGUUACCUAUUCACUGGCCUGGAGAAAGACCAAUGCAAUAGUCCAAUGGGCAGUCUAAGUCCUUCUUCCAAUUAAUGUUUAAUUAUUUAUACAAAGUGAAACAGGUCCAACAGGAGAGACCGAAGAAGCUGUUCUUCAGAAUAACUGAUAGUUUGGUGGCCAGAAAGCUUGCCUGGGAUGCAGGAUUCUGACAUUCAGACAUCUUGCAGAACAGAAACUUGAAAUCUGGACUCCUGUGUCACCAGUCAGUGCCUUGAUCAUAGGAUGAUUAUCUGGGAGGGGUGGCACUUUUCUUACUCUUUGAUGUAUUUCAAGUCUCAUCCUAGGCAUGAGAACCUUUCCCAGGUCCAGAGUGGUUUGGCCAUUGUGAUGAUUCCUCAAAGUCCCGUGUUUGAAGGAGAGGUCAACAAGCAGUGCUGAAGGGCAUGAGUCUCGGGAAGCCUGUAGAAUGCCAAAGCAUAUGCCUGCCUGACAUUGAUAUGAACCCAGGGCAUAAAACCAGGAGCCUGAUAUGUGAUCUGCUGCCAGUUGCCUUCAAACUACCAUGUCUGAUGAGGAAAAAAAGAGAGGAAGAGGAUGGAGAAAUGGGACAGGUCAUCUGGACUCUGAUAAUUAAUGUUCCUUAGAAAAUAAAAGUUUUGAAACUUUCCUGGAAAUGAGGUUUUAUAAUCUGCUACAAUGGCCCACAGGGGGGGAUGCUGCAACCUACACAUAUUGACAAUUGUGGUAUUACCAAGCAAUUCAUUUUUAUGAGUAAUUUCCAGAGCAACCCUCAACCAUGCAGUCACGCAUACAGUGCAGCAGUGUGCCAUAGAAGAAAGGCUCAGCUAGGGGCCAAAGAUUAUACAGAUUUGUUAAUAUUUGGAAAAAAGAUCCUAACAGCAGAAAGCAAAUUGAGCAACAGAGAGGGGGAGAAGGAAUGGACUUGACAACAAAGCAAGCUCUGUAAGGAUGGAUCCAGAGGACAGUGAACUCAAUGGAAUGAUUUCCAUUGAUUUCUUAAGAUCUUGGAUAGAUCUCAAGGGAACAGAGAUGCUCUGUCUUAUACCUUUCCCCC